GGGGAAUAUUGGACAAUGGGCGAAAGCCUGAUCCAGCCAUGCCGCGUGAAUGAUGAAGGCCUUAGGGUUGUAAAGUUCUUUUGUCAGGGAAGAUGAUGACGGUACCUGAAGAAUAAGCACCGGCUAACUUCGUGCCAGCAGCCGCGGUAAUACGAAGGGUGCUAGCGUUGUUCGGAAUCACUGGGCGUAAAGCGCGCGUAGGCGGCUUUCCAAGUCAGAGGUGAAAUCCCUGGGCUCAACCCAGGAACUGCCUUUGAAACUGUAAAGCUGGAGUGUCGGAGGGGAUGGCGGAAUUGCUAAUGUAGAGGUGAAAUUCGUAGAUAUUAGCAGGAACACCGGUGGCGAAGGCGGCCAUCUGGACGACAACUGACGCUGAGGCGCGAAAGCGUGGGGAUCAAAC
rnacentral:rRNA from 1 species